UACGUAGGGAGCAAGCGUUGUCCGGAAUCAUUGGGCGUAAAGCGCGCGUAGGUGGCCCCAUAAGUCCGCUGUGAAAGUCAAAGGCUCAACCUUUGAAAGCCGGUGGAUACUGUGGGACUAGAGUACGGAAGAGGCGAGUGGAAUUCCUGGUGUAGCGGUGGAAUGCGCAGAUAUCAGGAGGAACACCGGUGGCGAAGGCGGCGAUCUGGCCCAACAUUGACACUGAGACCCGAAAGUGCGGGGAUCAAACAGG
rnacentral:rRNA from 1 species